UUGCCCGAGCGGUUAAGGGGAAGGACUAGAAAUCCUUUGGGCUCAGCCCGCGCAGGUUCGAGUCCUGCA
rnacentral:ncRNA from 12 species